rnacentral:lncRNA from 1 species
UGAUCCUCUGCUGAAUCCGCAGCUGAACAUGCUGUUAGGAGGUGGGGUCUGUUCAGAAGUGGGGUUGGGAGCAGGAAGAAGCUGCCCAAACCUUCUUGGUUUGGAAGGACCACAGGGAGGGCAGAGCUGCAGCUACAUGGGUGAAGGCCUCAGUGGGCCCGGCUGUGCGUGCCCUCACACCUCAGUCACACUGACUGCUGUGCUGUUCCUGGAUGGAUGGACGUGCUCAUGGCCCACGCCUGGUUUUACUGGAAAAUGUAUAAAAUUCUGUGUAUAACUGGGUAAAUCACCAUUGUUUGACCCCCACUGGAUUAAACAUGAAGCUGUGGACUGAAGUAGGGACUCUGGAGGAGAGAGAGAGGAGAAAGGAGACGGGGAAGAGAGGAAGUAGGGAAGGGAGAGGAAGAAGUCAUGAUGUCAUAAGGAACGGGCACACAAAGGGAAAUAAAUCAGACGCAGAAGGUUAAACAUCACAUGGUUUCUGUUAUACGAGACACUCCAUAUAUAAAUAAUUUAAAGAGCAAAAUAAAAGAUAGAUGACAGGAAACAGGGAGACAGACUUUGCAGAGAUGGGAAGGGGAUCAAGAGAUGAGGAGACUGGAGGAAAGGGAACAGGAAGAGGAAGAAAAAAUGAUUAAGAUGUGAUAUGCAUAUGUCAUUAUUAUGAAUCACAAAUAUAUACAGAGAGAGAGAGAGGGAGGGAGGAGAGAGAGAGAGAGGACUCAUAGGAGGGCAGCAGGAAGGAACAAUUCCCACUCCCUGCAGGGAGGGGCCAGCCAGUGAAAUAGACAAAAGCAAGUGUUUUCUCCUGGCACAGUCUCUGAUCUGCAGAGCCAGGCUUGCAGCAAGGAAGGAAGUUGGUAAGAGGAAGAUUCUAAAAAGAUCUACCAGCCUUGGUCUUGUCAGUUCAUGACAUGACAGGGACGUCUCUUGGCAUGAAAGAACCUUAAGGGGCCCAUAGAGCAGUCUCCGCCUUACACCAAGGCACCAGGCUCUGUAGUCGGCAUCACAAAGAUGGACACACCUCACUCUGCUGAGCAGACGUGUGAACGGCGGCAGGAAGGCACAUGCUGUGUGCCAUCAUGCACUGCAAGGAGGCAGUGUGCCUGCCUGCUCCUCCCAACCCCUUGGCGGCACUCACUACGAUAUGGGUGUCAGUCCCUCGCAGGGAGAGGAAGUUGGGAGACAGGAAGAACCCAGUCUGAAAGUGCCAUGUCUAUCACCAUCAACCCAAACAGGCCCCUGGUCGUAACUGGCUUAUCCUUGUCUCACCCAAUGAAAUUAAGCAGAAAAGAAAAAUAAGGCAUGUUUUUAAACUACUCUGUGACCUCAAACAGAGGAAUAAUAUCUAGAAUUACAAAGAAUUCAGAAAAAUUACAGCCCCCCCAAUAAAAGACCCAAUGAAAAAUGGGCAACUAAAACAAAUAGAUAUUUCUCUGAAGAAAAUGAAAAAAUGUUCAACAUCUCUGGUCAUUAGAGAAAUGAAAAUCAAAACAACACUGAGAUUCCCUUACCCCAGAAGAAUGGCUGUCAUCAAGAAAUCAAAUAAUAACAAAUGCUGGCAAGGCUGUGGGGGAAAGGAACCCUGCUCCAUUGUUGGUGGGAGUGUAAGCUAGUGCAAUCACUAUAGAAAUCAGUAUGGAGAUUCCUCAAAAAACUAAAACUACAAAUUCCAUUUGACCCAGCUAUUCCCUUUCCAAGCAUCUCCCCAAAAGAGUUAAAGUCAUCAUAUUACAAAGAUCCAUGCAUAUCCAUGUUUAAAGCAGCUUAACUCAUAAUAGCUAAAUCUUGGAAGCAGCCUGUAUAUUCAUCAACAGAUGAAUGGAUAAAGAAAAUGUGGUAUUUACAUACAUCGGAGUACUAUCCCACCAUUAAGAAGAAUAAGCUUGAGUCAUUUAUAGGAAAGCAGACACACCUCAAGACCAUAAUGUUAAGUGAAGUAAGUUAGACACACACACUUAAACGAGAAACCCAAAGUAUAAACAAAAGAGCAAAAUAAAAAAAAGGCAAUUGGAAAUAGGG